GGAACUAAUGGGACUCUGUGUGUGGUCUAGGGGUUUUGGUGAUGAGUUAGUUAGUUGAUUAUGGAUUCAGUACAUUAGAUUAGUUCAUACUAGUGUUACCUCCAGUCAAUGCUUUUUGAUGUUAAGCCUGUACACUGUGCCAACUAUGAGGCACAUUUUGGAUCAGGCACCAAAUUAACAGUUCUCGAUCCAAACAUCAAAGUCACUGAACCCACAGUGGAAGUCCUAGCACCCUCGGCAAAGGAGUGUAAAGAUAGAAACAAGAAGAAGAAGAAGACCCUGGUGUGUGUAGCCACCCGCUUCUACCCCGACCAUGUCACGGUCUUCUGGCAAGUCAACAAUGUCAACAGAACUGAAGGCGCCGGGACCGACAACAAGGCCUUGUGGGAUAAAGAUAGUUUAUACAGUAUCACCAGCAGACUGAGAGUCCCAGCCAAAGACUGGCACAACCCAGACAACAAAUUCACCUGCAUUGUCAGCUUUUACAAUGGGAAUGGAGAUAUAAAUGUGAAUGACACCAUUAGUGGAGAUCUCCAAGGUCAAAGUGGGGGAGAGAUAACGACAGAUUACUAUGUGAAGAGCACCCAGACUGCCAAGCUGGCCUACAGCAUCUUCAUCGCUAAGAGUACCUUCUACGGCCUGGUCGUCAUGGUUAUGAUUUGGAAGUUCCAGGGCUCCUCAGAGAAACAGAUUUAACGGAAUACAAGUGGCCCAAGGAGGAUGUCCUGCACGGGUGUUGAUUCUUCCAUGUGAUCAAGGACGGACCGACAAAAGGGCAAUUCUGGCAAAUGCCAGAUGGACUGAUUCAUCUUUAGCCCAGUGGGCUUAUCUAAAUUGGCUUUUUUUUUUGCAAAAUAAUAAUAAUUUGACUAGUAAAGAGGGCUUUAAGGAAAAACAUGGGCAGUCCUCCCCGCACAGCCAGAAUAGGACUGGCCACCCCUCAUAGCCUGGUUCCUCUCUAGGUUUCUUCCUAGGUUUUGGCCUUUCUAGGGAGUUUUUCCUAGCCACCGUGCUUCUACACCUGCAUUGGUUGCUGUUUGGGGUUUUAGGCUGGGUUUCUGUACAGCACUUUGAGAUAUCAGCUGAUGUAAGAAGGGCAAUAUAAAUACAUUUGAUUUGAUUUGUGUGUUAGAAAUGCCUGGGCCGGUUUCUGAUCCCAGUUUGCCCCUGCAUGUAAUUGUAUUGUCCAUUGUGCUUAUUGUGUCCAUUAUCUCUUUAUUACCCUGUCUAUGUGAAGAUGUGCAUUUUAAGAAUCUCCUAUGAACAUGAACUUGCAAUUUAAAUGUAUAUUUGAAUAAAUUCAGCCAAAACAAUCUUUCCAUUAACUUACAAAACCAAUGUCUGUUUGUUUUUCCAGUAAUUACAGUAUAGUAUGUAUGAAUACAUUCUGCUUUCCAAUUUCUAAAUGUUAAUUUGUGAAUAAUAAACUGUAUAUAAUUAGGGACAGAUCGAAAUGUACCUUUCCACAGUUAAAAAUAUUUUCACGACCCUCCCCCUCAUAUAAUUAACUCAAUAUAUUGUUUACAACCACAAAUAACUAUAACUGUUGCGGCCCUGUUUUUAUAAACGUGGAUAUCGACUUCGCCACUUCAGCAUGCUUUUCUGCCACAGUUGAUGCCACACAGGGCUUUGGGCCAGAAGGUUGAGGGUUCACCGACCACCACAGACGAGCUCACUCUCCCUGCCUGUUUCAUCACAAUACGCAGGGCUUUGGGCCAGAAGGUUGAGGGGUCACCGACCACCACAGACGAGCUCACUCUCCCUGCCUGUUUCAUCACAUUACGAUCAGAGAUGGAGGCAGAGCAUGAUCAGCUAGGGGGAAAUCAGAUUUUCAACAUUUUGAUGCCAUAUUUAUAUCAAAUAUAUGCAACACAUUUUCCACCAACAGGUUUAACAACCAAUAAAGAACUUCUGGCACUUCGAUAUCAUGGUUUGUGUUUUGAACAAACAGGAAAUACAUCCCUCCCUACCUUGUAGACUUACCCAGUAUCGGAGGCUUGGCUUGACAAUCUCCUAGUGUCAUUAAACUUUCUGGUGUUUUGUAACAAUGUCUCUUUUCAUUCAUCAAUUGGCCACUGCACAGUUUGGAUUGAUUGAUUUGAAUUGUAUGUAAAUAAAAUACACUUAUACACAUUAUUUGUGACUGGGAUUGCACAAUAAAGUCUGGGACUUA